UUGAGAGUAAUCUCUCUGGUAGUCGGGCCAUUUGUGAGUAAUCUCUCCAAGAAUAGGGCCACAUGGAGAGUAAUUUCUCCGGUAGUCUAGUCAUUUUGAGAGUAAUCUCUCCAAGAAUUUGGCCACAUUGAGAGUAAUCUCUCCGGUAGUCAGGCCAUAUUGAGAGUAAUCUCUCCGAUAGUCUGGUCACAUUGAGAGUAAUCUCUCCGGUAGUCGGUCCACGAGAAUAAUCUCUCCGAUAUUCGGAAAAGGAUGAGUACUCAUCCCCUCACAUCCCAAGAUUGUCUUUUUUAUGCAUGAAUCAUUUUAUUGAACAAGAACAUAUCUUUCUUGCUUGAUCUACAAAAAAAAGACAACAAAACGAGAAAAGCACAAGAAAAGAAGAAAUUAUCUUCGCGUUAAUUCUUUCGAAUUUACAAACCUAGACAAGUGGUUUGUGAAGACUACGAAUUAAUGCUCAACAAAUAUGAGCAAGGGGUUUAUAUAGAUUUGAGAAGAAGUAGUUCACUAUUUGACGAUGUGGGAACUGCAGUUGUUUGAUACUAACACGGACGAGGAGAAGAUAAUCGAAAAGGAUUCGGAUCCGUAUAAUUCGUCUAUGACAAGAGUUUGGAUUUGUUUGGCGGCGAAAGCAACUUGUUUACAACAAGGAAUUGUCCAAAAGCAAUUACGUAAGGAAAUCACUUUGAAAAUGAUGCAAACCGUUAUCACGUUGAUGCACUGAAGGUUCAAUAUGUUAGUGAAUUAUGAAAAAGUGGCAUUUCCAAGUAAUAUUAGAUUCAAUCACCAAUAUAUGCCUAAUCAAUGUGGCUUAGCUUUAAUCCUUUCUAUGGAAUAUACUUACUUUUAAGCCACAUGGUUAAACCAUUUUAAGAAGUUGGCAUAAUUUAUGCAAUACAAAUGAACCAUAAAAAUAUUUGUUUUGUGGUAAGUUGAUUCGAG
rnacentral:lncRNA from 1 species